AUGCACGCUGGCGGCGUGCCUAAUACAUGCAAGUCGAGCGAACAGACGAGGAGCUUGCUCCUUUGACGUUAGCGGCGGACGGGUGAGUAACACGUGGAUAACCUACCUAUAAGACUGGGAUAACUUCGGGAAACCGGAGCUAAUACCGGAUAACAUGUUGAACCGCAUGGUUCAACAGUGAAAGACGGUCUUGCUGUCACUUAUAGAUGGAUCCGCGCCGCAUUAGCUAGUUGGUAAGGUAACGGCUUACCAAGGCAACGAUGCGUAGCCGACCUGAGAGGGUGAUCGGCCACACUGGAACUGAGACACGGUCCGGACUCCUACGGGAGGCAGCAGUAGGGAAUCUUCCGCAAUGGGCGAAAGCCUGACGGAGCAACGCCGCGUGAGUGAAGAAGGUCUUCGGAUCGUAAAACUCUGUUAUUAGGGAAGAACAAAUGUGUAAGUAACUAUGCACGUCUUGACGGUACCUAAUCAGAAAGCCACGGCUAACUACGUG
rnacentral:rRNA from 1 species